rnacentral:rRNA from 1 species
CACGUAGGGGGCAAGCGUUGUUCGGAAUUACUGGGCGUAAAGGGCAUGUAGGCGGCUUUGUAAGCUUGGCGUGAAAUUCCACGGCUUAACCGUGGGAAUGCGUUGAGAACUGCGAGGCUUGAGUUAUGGAGAGGGAGCUAGAAUUCCUGGUGUAGGGGUGGAAUCUGUAGAGAUCAGGAAGAAUACCAAUGGCGAAGGCAAGCUCCUGGCCAAUAACUGACGCUGAGGUGCGAAAGUGUGGGGAUCAAACAGG